UACGAAGGGGGCUAGCGUUGCUCGGAAUUACUGGGCGUAAAGGGAGCGUAGGCGGGUUAUCAAGUUGGAGGUGAAAGCCCAGGGCUCAACCUUGGAAUUGCCUUCAAAACUGAUAGCCUAGAGUAUGAUAGAGGUAUGUGGAACUCCGAGUGUAGAGGUGAAAUUCGUAGAUAUUCGGAAGAACACCAGUGGCGAAGGCGACAUACUGGGUCAUGACUGACGCUGAGGCUCGGAAAAGCGAUGGGGAGCAAACAGGGGAAUUAAGAAACCCCGGGU
rnacentral:rRNA from 1 species